rnacentral:tRNA from 1 species
GGUCCCAUAGCUCAGUUGGUUAGAGCACCUGACUCAUAAUCAGGUGGUCGAUGGUUCGAGCCCAUCUGGGACCACCA